GAGGGUAUAGCUCAAAUGGUAGAGCACAUGCUUAGCAUGCAUGAGGUACCAGGUUCAAUCCCCAGUACCUCCU
rnacentral:tRNA from 1 species